CCUACGGGGUGCAGCAGUGAGGAAUAUUGGUCAAUGGACGCAAGUCUGAACCAGCCAUGCCGCGUGCAGGAAGACGGCUCUAUGAGUUGUAAACUGCUUUUGUACGAGGGUAAACGCAGAUACGCGUAUCUGUCUGAAAGUAUCGUACGAAUAAGGAUCGGCUAACUCCGUGCCAGCAGCCGCGGUAAUACGGAGGAUUCAAGCGUUAUCCGGAUUUAUUGGGUUUAAAGGGUGCGUAGGCGGUCGGAUAAGUUAGAGGUGAAAUCCCGAGGCUCAACUUCGGAAUUGCCUCUGAUACUGUUCGGCGAGAGAGUAGUUGCGGUAGGCGGAAUGUAUGGUGUAGCGGUGAAAUGCUUAGAGAUCAUACAGAACACCGAUUGCGAAGGCAGCUUACCAAGCUACUUCUGACGUUGAGGCACGAAAGCGUGGGGAGCAAACAGGAUUAGAUACCCGGGAGUC
rnacentral:rRNA from 1 species